AAUGAAGUGCCUGAAUUAAAGGAAUAUCUUGAUAGGGUAAAUAAUGUGAAACUUUCACCUUCAUUA
rnacentral:tRNA from 1 species